UACCAGCUCUCCGAGUGGUAGGGAUGAUUAUUGGGCUUAAAGCGUCCGUAGCCGGCUUAGCAAGUCUCCUGUUAAAUUCAGCGACCUAAUCGUUGAGGUCGCGGGAGAUACUAUUAGGCUAGGAGGCGGGAGAGGUCGACGGUACUUCUGGGGUAGGGGUGAAAUCCUAUAAUCCCGGGAGGACCACCAGUGGCGAAGGCUGUCGACUAGAACGCGCUCGACGGUGAGGGACGGAAGCUGGGGGAGCGAACCGGAUUAGAUACCCGGGUAGUCCCAGCUGUAAACGAUGCGGGCUAGGUGUUGGGGUGGCUACGUGCCACUUCAGUGCCGCAGGGAAGCCAUUAAGCCCGCCGCCUGGGGAGUACGGCCGCAAGGCUGAAACUUAAAGGAAUUGGCGGGGGAGCACCACAAGGCGUGAAGCUUGCGGUUC
rnacentral:rRNA from 1 species